rnacentral:rRNA from 1 species
ACGGGAGGCAGCAGUGGGGAAUAUUGCACAAUGGGCGAAAGCCUGAUGCAGCGACGCCGCGUGAGUGAAGAAGUUAUUCGUAACGUAAAGUUCUAUCAGCAGGGAAGAAAAUGACGGUACCUGACUAAGAAGCCCUGGCUAACUACGUGCCAGCAGCCGCGGUAAUACGUAGGGGGCAAGCGUUAUCCGGAUUUACUGGGUGUAAAGGGAGCGUAGACGGCGAUGCAAGUCUGAAGUGAAAGCCCGGGGCUCAACCCCGGAACUGCUUUGGAAACUGUAUAGCUAGAGUGCAGGAGAGGUAUGUGGAAUUCCUAGUGUAGCGGUGAAAUGCGUAGAUAUUAGGAGGAACACCAGUGGCGAAGGCGGCUUGCUGGACGACAACUGACGCUGAGGCGCGAAAGCGUGGGGAGCAAACAGGAUUAGAUACCCUGGUA